rnacentral:lncRNA from 1 species
GCUUCGCUUUCUUGUUUUUACUGUAGUGAAACUCUCGUACAAUGUGACACACGAGUUUAUCAGCGACACGCGUUAGUGACCGUGACGGCCAUACUGAAAUUACGUCACAAGGAGAUCGCGGAAUUGUUCAAAGUGGGAAAACAAACGUGUGGUGUCGCUUCGCGACACGGUCGGUCGCUGGUGGCGCCAAACGUUUGACGAAUCAACAUAACCUAAUCGAGUGUACGCGGUCGCAUUUUUUACAACGUUUAUACACUUCAUUGCCGACGGAGCUUUGGACGUUGGGACACGAAUCAGACAGCACCGCGUACGUUUUAUAUAGAAAUUUUAACCAAAAACGUACAAGUAGAAUAUCAAAGCAACAUGAAAAUUAAUAGGCCGUGAAUGAAUCUCGUUCACAAAUAACCUAAAAAAUCUCACGAAGCGAAAUGAAAGUGAAUGGUUUCUGAGUUUUUAUUCGUUUAUACCAAAAGCCCACGAGUGCGAUCCACAAAAUAUUUCGAGGAUGAAAAAAUCGAUUAUUCUAAAAUAUUCUUGAUCACUUUAUUCGACUACUUUGCGGAGUCUGCAGGUGAGCAUUGUUUUUUGCACGAAUUUUCGGAAUUCUUCAACACUCGACAGGCUCAAAGCCGAAAGUGUCGUGAAGACGGCUGAAGUUGAAAACACAGUUUCAAGGAAUGAGAUCGAAUCGAAUCUUUGCUCGAUGCACCAAAAUAAAGCGUUUCACGCUCUCUGUUCGAGCGUAUCAAAAGCGUUUGGGAUUUCGGCAGAAAUUUAGCCGCCAUUUCUCGAAGCAUGAAAUUUUUUGACGACAUCCUGAUAAAAACCGCAUGAAAUUUUCGGACGUUCCAGAGCUGUUGGGUUGCCCAACGUGUCAGCACACACGACCGCACGUCACCGACCAAUCGAGCGUUUUUGCUGCCCCGAAACUCCACGCAGUAAUGGAAUCUCGCUAUGAAGACAGACGCUGGAAUUGCUUCGAAUGCGGAGGGAAAACCGAGAGUGCGAUUGAGGGUGCAAGUCAAAGAGGUACACAGAGCUUCGAUUAUGCUUCCCACUCCGUUUCCUGGGUAAACGUGAGCGCUCGUCUCCGUCGAUUGAGCGUAUUUGGGCCGUUCGAAGGAAGAAAAAGGUCCGAGGACUCGUACGAACGCGUGUGCCAACUUCGAAGGCGCGUAUUCAGUCGUUUACUUCGAAUCCUGGGAGUUUUGAUGCCGAAACUCGACGCUAAAUUGACGGACGAAAGUACAACGAGAUCUUCGGAGGGAGAUUCGGCUCGAAGUGCCCGAAGAAAAUCCACACUCGAGGGGGACGGAGCUCGAUCUUGGAGAACGCGGCGAAGAGGCCUUCCACUGUGAGAUCGAGGCCACCAGGAGCGUCGACCGGAAGCCAAGCUGUGCUUUUCGUAGUUUAGCAAAGUUUGCAAACUCUCUCGUUUGGCGGACCUCCCAAAAAGGAACGAGGGAGAGAUAAGCUUGUGCCGCGAAGCUCGCCGAGCUGGCGGAGGACUUUACAGAGCCGAGGGGCUCGAAACUUGAUCCUUGCACCGUGGAAAAGCCUCCGGGGAAGAUCGAAUUGGGAAGGGACGAGAGUGACGCGAAUCGGAGGAUCGUGGAACUGAGGAAACUCCAAAAUACCUUGCGAUCCGGAGUUGACCGUUGAUGUUUUUCGAGCAGAAUUUUUCAUCGGAAAUUUCAGUCGAUUAUUCGGAUGACAAAUGGGUAACAAGUCCAUCGAGUCAAGGUCGAAGCGAGGACUCCUCCGAGAUGAUGAAUCCGCAACGAAUGUCAAAAGGACGUCUUUGAACGAGAGAAUUUUCAACGUUGGAGAAAAACCUUUCCGAAGAGACGCAUCGAGACGCGAGCUGUCGGAAGCGACACACAUUUGUUCGUCUUUGAAAAAAACCCAGAGAAGACUGAAGAAAACGGGAGAUUCGCUGAGCGACGGAAAACGAUCGAGUCGUGGCUUCUCAGCGAAGGACAUAAAACGUGUUUGACCUGAUAUUCGGCUCAAUGGAACUCGCGUGCUCUAUUCCUCGUUGGAGAAACGAUUUUGCUACGGAAAUAAAUGACGAA